UACGUAGGGUGCAAACGUUGUUCGGAAUCACUGGGCAUAAAGAGCGCGCAGGCGGUCGUUCAAGUCGAGUGUGAAAGCCCCCGGCUCAACUGGGGAGGGUCAUUCGAUACUGAUCGACUCGAAGGCAGGAGAGGGUAGUGGAAUUCCCGGUGUAGUGGUGAAAUGCGUAGAUAUCGGGAGGAACACCAGUGGCGAAGGCGACUACCUGGCCUGUUCUUGACGCUGAGGCGCGAAAGCUAGGGGAGCAAACGGG
rnacentral:rRNA from 1 species